rnacentral:rRNA from 1 species
GACGAACGCUGGCGGCGUGCUUAACACAUGCAAGUCGAACGGAAAGGCCCUGCUUUUGUGGGGUGCUCGAGUGGCGAACGGGUGAGUAACACGUGAGUAACCUGCCCUUGACUUUGGGAGAACUUCAGGAAACUGGGGGUAAUACCGGAUAGGAGCUCCUGCUGCAUGGUGGGGGUUGGAUAGUUUCGGCGGUUGGGGAUGGACUAGCGGCCUAUCAGCUUGUUGGUGGGGUAGUGGCUUACCAAGGCUUUGACGGGUAGCCGGCCUGAGAGGCUGACCGGCCACAUUGGGACUGAGCUACGGCCCAGACUCCUACGGGAGGCAGCGGUGGGGAAUAUUGCACAAUGGGAGGAAGCCUGAUGCAGCAACGCCGCGUGCGGGAUGACGGCCUUCGGGUUGUAAACCGCUUUCGCCUGUGACGAAGCGUGAGUGACGGUACUGGGUAAAGAAGCACCGGCUAACUCCGUG